rnacentral:rRNA from 1 species
AAUCUGGGGUCGCCGACCUCCGAGUUGUAAUUUGGAGAGGCGCCUUUGGGGGGGAGCGCUGGCCCAUGUUCCUUGGAACAGGACGUCGCAGAGGGUGAGAAUCCCGUGCCAGGCCGGCUGCCUCCUCCCGCGUGAGGUGCCUUCGACGAGUCGAGUUGUUUGGGAAUGCAGCUCCAAGUGGGUGGUAAAUUUCAUCUAAAGCUAAAUACUUGCGGGAGACCGAUAGCGCACAAGUAGAGUGAUCGAAAGAUGAAAAGCACUUUGAAAAUAGAGUCAAAAAGUACGUGAAAUUGUUGAAAGGGAAGCGCUUGAGACCAGACUCAGACCCGAGCAAACAUCGCGCCCCUCGGGGCCGUGCACUUGCCUGGGGCUGGGCCAGCAUCGGUUGGCGUGGCGGGACAAAGGCGCGGGGAAUGUGGCUCCCCUCGGGGAGUGUUAUUAGGCCCGUGCUGAAUGCCGCCGCCGCCGACUGAGGACCGCGCCUCGGCUAGGAUGCUGGCUUAAUGGCCUUCAGCGACCCGUCUUGAAACACGGA